UACGUAGGGGGCAAGCGUUGUCCGGAAUCAUUGGGCGUAAAGAGCGUGUAGGCGGUCCGAUAAGUCGGUUGUGAAAGUCAAGGGCUCAACCCCUUGAAUGCCGACCGAUACUGUCGGGCUAGAGUCCGGAAGAGGCGAGUGGAAUUCCUGGUGUAGCGGUGAAAAUGCGCAGAUAUCAGGAGGAACACCAAUGGCGAAGGCAGCUCGCUGGGACGGUACUGACGCUGAGACGCGAAAAGCGUGGGGAGCAAACAGG
rnacentral:rRNA from 1 species